UGGGGAAUAUUGCACAAUGGGCGCAAGCCUGAUGCAGCCAUGCCGCGUGUGUGAAGAAGGCCUUCGGGUUGUAAAGCACUUUCAGCGAGGAGGAAGGUGGUGAACUUAAUACGUUCAUCAAUUGACGUUACUCGCAGAAGAAGCACCGGCUAACUCCGUGCCAGCAGCCGCGGUAAUACGGAGGGUGCAAGCGUUAAUCGGAAUUACUGGGCGUAAAGCGCACGCAGCGGUUUGUUAAGUCAGAUGUGAAAUCCCCGGGCUCAACCUGGGAACUGCAUUUGAAACCUGGCAAGCUAGAAGUCUCGUAGAGGGGGUAGAAUUCCAGGUGGUAGCGGUGAAAUGCGUAGAGAUCUGGAGGAAUACCGGUGGCGAAGGCGGCCCCCUGGACGAAGACUGACCGCUCAGGUGCGAAAAGCGUGGGGAGCAAACAGGAUUAGGAUAACCCUGGUAGUCCACGCUGUAAACGAUGUCGAAUUUUGGAGGUUGUGCCCUUGAGGCGUGGCUUCCGGAGCUAACGCGUUAAAUCGACCGCCUGGGAGUACGGCCGCAAGGUUAAAACUCAAAUGAAUUGAC
rnacentral:rRNA from 1 species